rnacentral:rRNA from 1 species
UACGUAGGGGCUAGCGUUGUCCGGAUUUAUUGGGCGUAAAGAGCGUGUAGGCGGCCAGGUAGGUCUGCUGUGAAAACUCGAGGCUUAACCUCGAGAUGUCGGUGGAAACCAUCUGGCUAGAGUCCGGAAGAGGGAGAGUGGAAUUCCGUGGUGUAGCGGUGAAAUGCGCAGAUAUCAGGAAGAACACCCGUGGCGAAGGCGGCUCUCUGGGACGGUACUGACGCUGAGACGCGAAAGCGUGGGGAGCGAACAGG